AGUGAAGCUUAAAAAGAGCAUUCAGAAGUGUUCAAGUGUUCACCAAACUACCUGCCGUAAAUUGAUAAACCUACAGGAUAAUGUCCUUCACCUACACAGAAAAAAGAAAUCUCAGCUGAAUGUGGCCUGACAAGUGGCAGCAUAGACACUACUGCCUACCGUGCCUCCGCUACUGAUGCUGUUGGCUGGACAUUUCAGAGGUUUCAUACUGCUGUCUCUCUGGACAUACAAAUGUUCUAAUCUCCAGCGCUCCCAGCUUUUCCGAAACUCCAUCUGAACCUAACAGAAGCAAAGAAGAAAACAAAAGGAAUUAAUGUAGAACUAAUCCGCUCUUUAAAUGACUCCAUUUGCAUUAGAAAAGAGCAAGGGAAAAAAGAGAAAAAAAAAGAUACCACACUGCUGAGAAAAGCUGAAACCUGCAAUAUUAUUGCUUCAAAUUAUCCAAUUAUCUUGUUAGUCCAUUGUAGGGUAUUUCACAUUUGAAAUAAUGACAUUCCUGUUUACUUGUAGAAAUAAAGCUUUUUUAUGCACCAGAAAA